GAUCAUCUGAUACUCACUCAAGUCUCUACUUCUUCUUUCCUACAAACAUCAAUAACUUGAUCAUUGGAGUGACUCCGGGAAUUAGACCCUGGUCCUUCGACAAUUCCUUUGUAUGCUAGCUGGUCAUAUUCAAGAGUUGAUCAAGAGGACAGUUCAUCCAAUCUUAUUCAUGUUAGUUUGGACAAACACAGUUCAUGUCAUCAUAAUAGGUUAGAUGGUGGUAACAUUCUACCUCGUGGGAUCUCAGCGAUCACAAGGCUAGCUCGUCAAGCGCGUAUCACCCAGGUCAAUUUGUUCAAACACCUAGGUCAGCUCAGGAAAGCACAGUUGUCUCAGCAGCUCAACUCACUUGGCUGAACUAUCCAAAUCAAUUCAACUAGUGAAUUUUUUUCUAUAUUUAUAGUUGCCUAUAUAACUAGGUAGCUAAUUAUAAUUGGCAUCAGUUGAGUAAUAACAGAAUCAAUUCUUCUUUCCUUCAAUCUCUCUUUCCUCUCUAUCGCUCUUGAUUAUUCUUCUUCUCCUUCAUAGAGUAACAACUUUCUUUCUGCCAGUAACAUCUUCUAGUUAUUAUUCUAAUUAAAAAUACUAGAAUUACACUAAGCUCUUAAGUUCCAGGGUCUAGAAAUAGUGACAUUGUUGGUAUAGUGACACUGUUGGUACGAUGCAUGCUUCCUUCAUACAGGCACUACCAAAAGGACCCUUUAAGGCACAUUGAUCAUUCAACAGCCGCUAGCCAUUUGAUCGUAAAUUACAUAUAGAAGGUCAUCUAGAAAUAAUUCGGAGUUUUUGUACAUUGGGAUGCCAAUUAGAAAUUUAUUUCCAUCUUCUAGGGAUUGAAAUUUAGUUUAGAGUGUAAUUCUUUGGGGGGGGGCCCUCUGACUGAUGUACAUUCUUGCUCAUCAAUAAAAAAAAUUAUUAGAAGUUAUUAAAAAAAAGAUUUAUGGUGUAUUUGAUAAAACUGAAGUUUAAAAAUUAAAAUCUGA
rnacentral:lncRNA from 1 species